GGGCUCGCAGGCGGUUUCUUAAGUCUGAUGUGAAAGCCCCCGGCUCAACCGGGGAAGGGUCAUUGGAAACUGGGGAACUUGAGUGCAGAAGAUGGAGAUGUGGAAUUCCACGUGUAGCGGUGAAAUGCGUAGAAGAUGUGGAGGAACACCAGUGGCGAAGGCGACUCUCUGGUCUGUAACUGACGCUGAGGAGCGAAAGCGUGGGGAGCGAACAGGAUUAGAUACCCUGGUAGUCCACGCCGUAAACGAUGAGUGCUAAGUGUUAGGGGGUUUCCGCCCCUUAGUGCUGCAGCUAACGCAUUAAGCACUCCGCCUGGGGAGUACGGUCGCAAGACUGAAACUCAAAGGAAUUGACGGGGGCCCGCACAAGCGGUGGAAGCAUGUGGUUUUAAUUCGAAGCAACGCGAAGAACCUUACCAGGUCUUGACAUCUUCUGACAAUCCUAGAGAUAGGACGUCCCCUUCGGGGGCAGAGUGACAGGUGGUGCAUGGUUGUCGUCAGCUCGUGUCGUGAGAUGUUGGGUUAAGUCCCGCAACGAGCGCAACCCUUGAUCUUAGUUGCCAGCAUUCAGUUGGGCACUCUAAGGUGACUGCCGGUGACAAACCGGAGGAAGGUGGGGAUGACGUCAAAUCAUCAUGCCCCUUAUGACCUGGGCUACACACGUGCUACAAUGGACAGAACAAAGGGCAGCGAAACCGCGAGGUUAAGCCAAUCCCACAAAUCUGUUCUCAGUUCGGAUCGCAGUCUGCAACUCGACUGCGUGAAGCUGGAAUCGCUAGUAAUCGCGGAUCAGCAUGCCGCGGUGAAUACGUUCCCGGGCCUUGUACACACCGCCCGUCACACCACGAGAGUUUGUAACACCCGAAGUCGGUGAGGUAACCUUUUAGGAGCCAGCCGCCGAAGGUGGGACAGAUGA
rnacentral:rRNA from 1 species